UUGUGGUUAAAAAGCUCGUAGUUGGAUCUCAACAGCCUUGAAGCGGUUAACUUUGUAGUUUUACUGCUUUAUAGGCUGUGCUUUUGCUGGAGGUUUAGGGGUGCUCUUGAUCGAGUGUCUCUGGAUGCCAGCAGGUUUACUUUGAAAAAAUUAGAGUGCUCAAAGCAGGCUAAAAUGCCUGAAUAUUCGUGCAUGGAAUAAUAGAAUAGGAUGUCGAUCCUAUUUCGUUGGUUUUCGGGACUCGACAUAAUGAUAAAUAGGGACAGUCGGGGGCAUUUGUAUUCAAACGACAGAGGUGAAAUUCUUGGACCGUUUGAAGACAAACUACUGCGAAAGCAUUUGCCAAGAAUGUUUUCAUUAAUCAAGAACGAAAGUUAGAGGUUCGAAGGCGAUUAGAUACCGCCCUAGUUCUAACCAUAAACGAUGCCAGCUAGCGAUCUGCCUGCGUUUUUACUGUAGACUGGGCAGGAAGCUUCCGGGAAACCAAAGCAUUUGGGUUCCAGGGGAAGUAUGGUUGCAAAGCUGAAACUUAAAGGAAUUGACGGAAGGGCACCACCAGGAGUGGAGCCUGCGGCUUAAUUUGACUCA
rnacentral:rRNA from 1 species